CUGAUGUAGUGUGAACCCUGACCCUCCCAACCACUCCACGACUGAUUCUACUGGUUGCUGGUGAUGGAGUCACAUUGGGCCACUGGAUGAUCAGCAUUGAAAGCCAGGUCAUCUGUGAAGGCACCCAAAAAACCUUCAUCUCAGGGCUUGCUGCAGUUUUCGCAACAUUCUACGUGUUCAACCUGGAAUACCAAGAAGAAGCUGCAAGGACCCUGGAGUUUGUGCAAAGGCGCCUCAUUGGGAUCAAUCCCGAAAGGGGAGGAAAGACCAGCCAGGGAAAAGUGGUGUCAAAGAGGA